CAGUCGCCACGGGAAUGCGUAGGUGGCAAGCGUUGUCCGGAAUUAUUGGGCGUAAAGGACUCGCAGGCGGUUUCUUAAGUCUGAUGUGAAAGCCCCCGGCUCAACCGGGGAGGGUCAUUGGAAACUGGGAAGCUUGAGUGCAGAAGAGGAGAGUGGAAUUCCACGUGUAGCGGUGAAAUGCGUAGAGAUGUGGAGGAACACCAGUGGCGAAGGCGACUCUCUGGUCUGUAACUGACGCUGAGGAGCGAAAGCGUGGGGAGCGAACAGGAUUAGAUACCCCGGUAGUCCCUGUCUCUUAUAC
rnacentral:rRNA from 1 species